ACAGAGUCUUAGUAGUAUAAACAUUACACUGGUC
rnacentral:tRNA from 1 species